rnacentral:rRNA from 1 species
AGAUUGAACGCUAGCGGGAUGCUUUACACAUGCAAGUCGAACGGCAGCGCGGACUUCGGUCUGGCGGCGAGUGGCGAACGGGUGAGUAAUAUAUCGGAACGUGCCCAGUAGCGGGGGAUAACUACGCGAAAGCGUGGCUAAUACCGCAUACGCCCUACGGGGGAAAGGGGGGGAUCGCAAGACCUCUCACUAUUGGAGCGGCCGAUAUCAGAUUAGCUAGUUGGUGAGGUAAAGGCUCACCAAGGCGACGAUCUGUAGCUGGUUUGAGAGGACGACCAGCCACACUGGGACUGAGACCACGGCCCAGACUCCGUACGGGAGGACCGCGAGUGGGGAAGUUUUAGGACGAAGUGGGGAAACCGUGGACUCCGAGCCGACGUCCCGCGUCGUCGCGAGU